rnacentral:rRNA from 1 species
GUUAUAGGGUCAAGCGAACAAGUGCAUGUGGUGGAUGCCUUGGCGAUCACAGGCGAUGAAGGACGCGGUAGCCUGCGAAAAGCUUCGGGGAGCUGGCAAACGAGCUUUGAUCCGGAGAUGUCCGAAUGGGGAAACCCGGCCCGAAUGGGUCAUCCCACACUGAAUCCAUAGGUGUGGGAAGCGAACGCGGCGAACUGAAACAUCUAAGUAGCUGCAGGAACAGAAAUCAACCGAGAUUCCCAAAGUAGUGGCGAACGAAAUGGGAUGAGCCUUGUACUUUUUAGCAGUGUGGUUAGCAAAACGGGAUGGAAAGCCCGGCCAUAGCAGGUGAUAGCCCUGUAUGCGAAAACCGCGUUGUGGAACUAGGGGUACGACAAGUAGGGCGGGACACGUGAAAUCCUGUCUGAAGAUGGGGGGACCAUCCUCCAAGGCUAAAUACUCGUGAUCGACCGAUAGUGAACCAGUACCGUGAGGGAAAGGCGAAAAGAACCCCGGGAGGGGAGUGAAAUAGAUCCUGAAACCGCAUGCAUACAAACAGUCGGAGCCUGGAAACGGGUGACGGCGUACCUUUUGUAUAAUGGGUCAGCGACUUACAUUCAGUGGCAAGCUUAACCGGUUAGGGAAGGCGUAGCGAAAGCGAGUCCGAAUAGGGCGAUUGAGUCGCUGGGUGUAGACCCGAAACCAGACGAUCUAUCCAUGGCCAGGUUGAAGGUGCGGUAACACGUACUGGAGGACCGAACCCACUAACGUUGAAAAGUUAGGGGAUGAGCUGUGGAUAGGGGUGAAAGGCUAAACAAGUCUGGAAAUAGCUGGUUCUCUCCGAAAACUAUUUAGGUAGUGCCUCGUGUCUCACCUUCGGGGGUAGAGCACUGUCAUGGUUGGGGGGUCU